UACGUAGGGUGCAAGCGUUGUCCGGAAUUAUUGGGCGUAAAGAGCUCGUAGGCGGUUUGUUGCGUCGGCUGUGAAAUCCCGAGGCUCAACCUCGGGUCUGCAGUCGAUACGAGCAAACUAGAGUGUUGCAGGGGAGACUGGAAUUCCUGGUGUAGCGGUGAAAUGCGCAGAUAUCAGGAGGAACACCGAUGGCGAAGGCAGCCCCCUGGGCCAACACUGACGCUCAGGCACGAAAGCGUGGGGAGCAAACAGG
rnacentral:rRNA from 1 species